rnacentral:misc_RNA from 1 species
GAUGAAGAACGUAGCGAAAUGCGAUAAGUAGUGUGAAUUGCAGAAUUCAGUGAAUCAUCGAAUCUUUGAACGCACAUUGCUUCCCUUGGUAUCCCGAGGGGCAUGCCUGUUCGAGCGUCAUUUCACCACUCAAGCCUGGCUUGGUGUUGGGCGACGUCCCCUUUGGGGACGCGCCUCGAAACGCUCGGCGGCGUGGCACCGGCUUUAAGCGUAGCAGAAUCUUUCGCUUUGGAAGUCGGGGCCCCGUCUGCCGGAAGACCUACUCGCAAGGUUGACCUCGGAUCAGGCAGGGAUACCCGCUGAACUUAAGCAUAUCAAUAAGCGGAGGA